rnacentral:misc_RNA from 1 species
GAAAUGCGAUAACUAAUGUGAAUUGCAGAAUUCAGUGAAUCAUCGAGUCUUUGAACGCACAUUGCGCCCCCUGGUAUUCCGGGGGGCAUGCCUGUCCGAGCGUCAUUUCUCCCCUCCAGCCCCGCUGGUUGUUGGGCCGCGCCCCCCCGGGGGCGGGCCUCGAGAGAAACGGCGGCACCGUCCGGUCCUCGAGCGUAUGGGGCUCUGUCACCCGCUCUAUGGGCCCGGCCGGGGCUUGCCUCGACCCCCAAUCUUCUCAGAUUGACCUCGGAUCAGGUAGGGAUACCCGCUGAACUUAA